GAUGAACGCUAGCGGGAGGCCUAACACAUGCAAGCCGAGCGGUAUUAUUUCGUCGGAAAUGAGAGAGCGGCGUACGGGUGCGGAACACGUGUGCAACCUGCCUUUAUCUGGGGGAGAGCCUUUCGAAAGGAAGAUUAAUACUCCAUAACAUAUUGAACGGCAUCGUUUGAUAUUGAAAGCUCCGGCGGAUAGAGAUGGGCACGCGCAAGAUUAGCUAGUUGGUGAGGUAACGGCUCACCAAGGCGAUGAUCUUUAGGGGGCCUGAGAGGGUGAUCCCCCACACUGGUACUGAGACACGGACCAGACUCCUACGGGAGGCAGCAGUGAGGAAUAUUGGUCAAUGGGUGCAAGCCUGAACCAGCCAUCCCGCGUGAAGGACGACUGCCCUAUGGGUUGUAAACUUCUUUUGUAUAGGGAUAAACCUGCCCUCGUGAGGGUAGCUGAAGGUACUAUACGAAUAAGCACCGGCUAACUCCGUGCCAGCCGCCGCCGUAAAAC
rnacentral:rRNA from 1 species